rnacentral:rRNA from 1 species
UACGAGAGGCCCAAACGUUAUUCGGAAUUACUGGGCUUAAAGAGUCCGUAGGCGGCGCAGAAAGUCGGGUGUGAAAGCCCUCGGCUCAACCGAGGAAUUGCGCUCUAAACUACUGUGCUUGAGGAACCUAGAGGUGAGCGGAACUGAUGGUGGAGCGGUGAAAUGCGUUGAUAUCAUCAGGAACACCGGAGGCGAAGGCGGCUCACUGGACUGGUAUUGACGCUGAGGUGCGAAAGCGUGGGGAGCAAACAGG